GGAUUUACAGCAGCCGAUUCUGACUCAGAAUAAGCAGAAAACGGAUUCACAGCAGACGGUCUUCCUGACGCUCAAAGAAGGCUGACUGCUCACGCCAGCCCAUGCCUGCCCGCUCCCUUUAAAAUGCGGCGGGGGCAGCCGCCAGGCUCCGGAGCGGCAGGCAUGACCCAGCUGGACGUGACCCAGGGAGCAGCUCCUGCGCUCAGUCUGAGCCUGGGAAGAGUUCUGGAGUGGACACCUGGGACCCCAGCGGGACCCCCAGCCCGGAGCAUCGAGGGCCCCCCUGAGGCGGAUCUUCCAAGCGGGGGGCAGAACUCGCCGCCCGGG
rnacentral:lncRNA from 1 species